AUGGCGAUGCGCUCCUGCCGAGAGAAGGCUCAGAAGCUGAACAAGCAGCACCAGCUCAUCCUGUCCGAGCUGCUAAGGGAGGAGGACAAAAGUACUGCCCCGACUGAGAGACCAAAGGUCCUCCAUGGGCUUCCUGGAAUAUUGGUGUAUUUAUUUGCAUCACAUGUGCUGGAAUCCAUAGAAAUCUUGGGGUUCAUAUAUCCAGGGUCAAGUCAGUCAACCUAGACCAGUGUACACCAGAACAGAUAUAGUGCAUGCAAGAUAUGGGAAAUACUAAAGCAAGACUACUCUAUGAAGCCAAUCUUCCAGAGAACUUUCGAAGACCACAGACAGAUCAAGCAGUGGAAUUUUUCAUCAGAGAUAAAUAUGAAAAGAAGAAAUACUAUGAUAAAAAUGCAAUAGCUAUUACAAAUAAAGAAAAGGGGGAAAAAAAAAGGAAGAGAAAAAGAAAGAAAGGAGCCAGAAAAGCGUGCAAAACCUCUUACAACUGGAAAGCUGCAGAAGAAAGAAGAUCAGCAUUUGGAGCCCAAAAAAAGUACCAGCCCUAAAAAAGCUGCAGAGCCCACUGUUGAUCUUUUAGGACUUGAUGGCCCUGCUGAGGCACCAGUGACCAAUGGGAACACAACCACGGUGCCAUUCCUGAAUGAUGAUCUGGACAUCUUUGGACCAGUGAUUUCUAAUCCCUUCCCUGCAACAGUCAUACCCCCAGCUCAGGGGAUGCCCUCUAUACCUGCAGCUGCCACUUUGUCUACAGUAAUAUCUGGAGAUCUGGAUCUGUUCACCGAGCAAGCUACAAAGUCAGAAGAGGUGGCAAAGAAACAACUCUCCAAAGACUCCAUCUUAUCUUUGUAUGGUGCAGGAACCAUUCAGCAGCAGAGUACUCCUGGUGUGUUUAUGGGACCCACAGAUAUACCAUUUACCUCACAAGCACCAACUGCCUUUCAAGGUUUUCCAUCAGUGGGUGUGCCUGUGCGUACACCUGCAGCUCCUGGCCUUCUCGGAAAUGUGAUGGGACAGAGUGCAAGCAUGAUGGUGGGCAUGCCCAUGCCCAAUGGGUUUAUGGGAAAUGCACAGACUAGUGUGAUGCCACUUCCUCCAAAUGUGGUUGGCCCCCAAGGAGGAAUGGUGGGACAGAUGGGUGCACCCCAGAGUAAGUUUGGCCUGCCGCAAGCUCAACAGCCCCAGUGGAACCUCUCACAGAUGAUUCAGCAAAUGGCUGGCAUGAGUAUCAGUAGUACGAACCCAACAGUGGGUUUUGGCUAGCCCCCCAACACAACACCACCCCCCAGCAGGAUGGUCUGGAAGCCUAUCGGGUCAGACUCUCAGCACACAGCUGUGGAAGUGAAAACUGCAAUGCAAGUUUCAUCCAGAACUACCACCUGACAUUCCUUGCUAAAACGCAUCUAGUUCCCCUGUUUAUUCAUGUACAUAUACUUUUUUUCUUUCUCUCAUUUGUCAUAUUAAGAAUUAUCUGACUGACCAUGUUGGUUUGUACUGAUUAAAUUUGAUGUGAAAAGCAGGUUGAGAAACCAUUUUAUGUCAAGGGCAGCUUUGCUCAUUUCCUAUGAUUUCAUAAACCACAUUAUUUGAGAAGCUCAGUCAACUUGCAUUAUCAGUUUUACUCUCAAUAAAAUUAUAGCUCUAAUAUCUGCAUUUAAGAGAAGUAGUUACCAUGUUAGUAAUACCUCUAACAGUAUAAACCCCACCCCCAAAUUAGCCAGUAAUCCUUAGGAAGGUACUAUAUGAUCAAAUGUGUAAUCAUAUAAAUAGAAUGUAAAUAUAUCACUGAGCACUGUUUUCCAUUGUAUCGAAAUUCUUUUAUUUCAUCAUUCACUUCACUGUGCUGUUGUUAUGAUGUGCUUAAUAGGGAACGUUGUUAGUGAAAGGAAGAUAAACCUGGAUGUUACUACAAAACUUAGUUUAAUGAAUGUUUAAAGAACUCAAAUUUUACCUGCCUCUCCUGUAAUUUGGAUCUCUUCUUAUGUACAUAGUGCUAAUAACAUGAAGACCUUUCUCUGCACUAUAUGCAAACAGGGCAACUAAACAAAGCCACUUUCAAUCCUUGAAGGUAUGUCCAGGUUUAUGACAGUAAUUGUGUUUACAUUUUAUGGUGCCUAGUAUUGACAAAAUGUUAUAUCCCUAUAUUAAACAGAUGAAUCCA